ensembl:lncRNA
ACUAGGUUAUAAUGUAUAGUAGUGGGUUGUUAGUGAUAUGUUAUAUUAUGUAAAGUAGACUAGGUUAUAAUGUAUAGUAGUGGGUUGUUAGUGAUAUGUAGAUGUUAUAUUAUGUAAAGUAGACUAGGUUAUAAUGUAUAGUAGUGGGUUGUUAGUGAUAUGUAGAUGUUAUAUUAUGUAAAGUAGACUAGGUUAUAAUGUAUAGUAGUGGGCUGUUAGUGAUAUGUAGAUAUUAUAUUAUGUAAAGUAGACUAGGUUAUAAUGUAUAGUAGUGGGUUGUUAGUGAUAUGUUAUAUUAUGUAAAGUAGACUAGGUUAUAAUGUAUAGUAGUGGGUUGUUAGUGAUAUGUUAUAUUAUGUAAAGUUGACUAGGUUAUAAUGUAUAGUAGUGGGUUGUUAGUGAUAUGUAGAUGUUAUAUUAUGUAAAGUAGACUAGGUUAUAAUGUAUAGUAGUGGGUUGUUAGUGAUAUGCAGAUCAAGGUCUAUACCUCAGCUAUAGCCUACAUAUCAUAGAUGACCAGCCUAAACCUGUUCAGAUCAGUUCACAUAAUGUUAUAGUCCUACCAGUAGCAGGACAGAGAAUGUACUGUAUAUAACCUACAUAUCAUAGAUGACCAGUCUAAACCUGUUCAGAUCAGUUCACAUAAUGUUAUAGUCCUACCAGUAGCAGGACAGAGAAUGUACUGUAUAUAACCUACAUAUC